rnacentral:rRNA from 1 species
GAUAAACGCUGGCGGCGCACAUAAGACAUGCAAGUCGAACGGAAGUCGUUAUAAAAUGAAUUGAAGAUUUAUCUGAUUGAAGUUAUAUAACAAUGGCUUUAGUGGCGGACUGGUGAGUAACGCGUGAGCAACCUGCCUAUUAGAGGGGAAUAACAGUGAGAAAUCAUUGCUAAUACCGCAUAUGCCAUAAUUAUCACAUGAUAAUAGUGGGAAAGGAGCAAUCCGCUAAUAGAUGGGCUCGCGUCUGAUUAGAUAGUUGGUGGGGUAACGGCCUACCAAGUCAACGAUCAGUAGCCGGACUGAGAGGUUGAACGGCCACAUUGGGACUGAGAUACGGCCCAGACUCCUACGGGAGGCAGCAGUCGGGAAUAUUGCGCAAUGGAGGAAACUCUGACGCAGUGACGCCGCGUAUAGGAAGAAGGUCUUCGGAUUGUAAACUAUUGUCGUUAGGGAAGAAAAAGGACAGUACCUAAGGAGGAAGCUCCGGCUAACUACGUGCCAGCAGCCGCGGUAAUACGUAGGGAGCAAGCGUUAUCCGGAUUUAUUGGGUGUAAAGGGUGCGUAGACGGGAUAAUAAGUUAGUUGUGAAAUCCCUCGGCUCAACUGAGGAACUGCAACUAAAACUGUUAUUCUUGAGUGUUGGAGAGGAAAGCGGAAUUCCUAGUGUAGCGGUGAAAUGCGUAGAUAUUAGGAGGAACACCAGUGGCGAAGGCGGCUUUCUGGACAAUAACUGACGUUGAGGCACGAAAGUGUGGGGAGCAAACAGGAUUAGAUACCCUGGUAGUCCACACCGUAAACGAUGAAUACUAGGUGUAGGUUAUGUCAUGUAAUCUGUGCCGUCGCAAACGCAAUAAGUAUUCCACCUGGGGAGUACGGCCGCAAGGUUGAAACUCAAAGGAAUUGACGGGGGCCCGCACAAGCAGUGGAGUAUGUGGUUUAAUUCGAAGCAACGCGAAGAACCUUACCAGGGCUUGACAUAUAAGUGAAUAUAUUAGAGAUAAUAUAGUCCUUCGGGACACUUAUACAGGUGGUGCAUGGUUGUCGUCAGCUCGUGUCGUGAGAUGUUGGGUUAAGUCCCGCAACGAGCGCAACCCCUGCUUUUAGUUGCCAGCACGUAAUGGUGGGAACUCUAGAAGGACUGCCGGUGAUAAAUCGGAGGAAGGUGGGGACGACGUCAAAUCAUCAUGCCCUUUAUGUCCUGGGCUACACACGUACUACAAUGGCUGUAACAGAGGGAAGCAAGAUAGUGAUAUUAAGCAAAACCCAAAAAGCAGUCUCAGUUCGGAUUGAAGGCUGAAAUUCGCCUUCAUGAAGCCGGAAUUGCUAGUAAUGGCAGGUCAGCAUACUGCCGUGAAUACGUUCCCGGGCCUUGUACACACCGCCCGUCACACCAUGAGAGUUGGGGAUACCCGAAGCCUGUGAGCUAACAGUAAUGAAGCAGCAGUCGAAGGUAGAAUCAAUGAUUGGGGUGAAGUCGUAACAAGGUAGCCGUAUCGGAAGGUGCGGCUGGAUCACCUCCUUUCUAAGGAGAAAGAAACAGAUGAGUUUUUUCAAUAAUGUUUAUUGUUUAUUUUUCAAUGUACUUUAAAUAGUACAUUAAAAAUUAGAGUGAAGGCUCGCUAAAUUAAGGAAGAGACUAAACAAACUCUACAAUAUGGGGAUAUAGCUCAGUUGGCUAGAGCGCCUGCCUUGCAAGCAGGAGGUCAAGGGUUCGACUCCCUUUAUCUCCACCAUAUAGAAGUCAAAAAAUCAAACUUCUAUAAAGCACAUUGAAAAAUAUAUAGAAAAAAGAAAAAAUAUCAAGGUAAACUAGAGUAUUCAUUAUCGAAAGAUAAUAAUAUUAUUACAAUUAAAGCCAAAGAUAAUAAAGAGGCAAUGUUAAACAUUGAGUAUUUAUUAACAAUGAAAAUAAACCUAGAAAAAUAGGUUAAGCUACAAAGAGCGUAGGGUGAAUGCCUAGGCACCAAGAGCCGAAGAAGGACGUGACAAGCUGCGAAAAGCUACGGGGAGGAGCAAAUAUCCAUUAUAUCCGUAGAUAUCCGAAUGAGGGAACUCAAUUAGAGGUAAAAGUCUAAUUACCCAUACAUGAGUAAAGUAGUGUAUGAGGAGGUAACGUGGGGAACUGAAACAUCUUAGUACCCACAGGAAAAGAAAGAAAACUCGAUUCCUAAAGUAGUGGCGAGCGAAAUAGGAAGAGCCCAAACCGGAGGUAGUAAUACCACCGGGGUUAGGACUGCAAUAUACUAUUCUGUAAAUUUAGUAGAAAUGUUUUGGGAAAGCAUACCAUAGAAGGUGAAAGUCCAGUAUAUGAAAAAUGAGCAGAGGUUAGCAGAAUCCAGAGUAGUGCGAGACACGAGAAAUCUCGUAUGAAAGAGCGGGGACCAUCCCGUAAGGCUAAAUACUACUUGGUGACCGAUAGUGAUU